CGGUGGGGCGUCUUCUCCGACCUCAUGAGCUCGGCUUGGCACAGGGCCUGCUUGAGUUGCUGCAGGAGCUGGUGUGCGAGUGAUCAAAUGCCAGAUGUUCUUGAGAGGCACCACCACGCAGAUCAUGAACGCUAUCCAAAGCUUUACUUGUAGAUAGUUUCAUACCAUUUGCUUGUCGAUAGUUUCCAAGUUCCACGCAAAAGAUCCA